UGGUCAUGCUGAUAAGAGCGUAUGGUGGAUGCCUUGGCACUAAGAGCCGAUGAAGGACGUGAUAAGCUGCGAAAAGCUUCGGGGAGGGGCAAAUACCCAUCGAUCCGGAGAUCUCCGAAUAGGGAAACCUGGUUGGGCAGACCCCAGUCAUCCUUAACCCAAUCCAUAAGUUAAGGAAGGGAACCCGGUGAACUGAAACAUCUAAGUAGCCGGAGGAAGAGAAAACAACAGUGAUUCCGGAAGUAGCGGCGAGCGAA
rnacentral:rRNA from 1 species